rfam:Vogesella sp. LIG4 genome assembly, chromosome: I
GGGUUUGUAGCUCAGCCGGUUAGAGCACCGUCUUGAUAAGGCGGGGGUCGUUGGUUCGAGUCCAACCAGACCCA